UUUUUUUUUUUUUCCCCAUCCUGAUAGGCAUGGCUGGAAUCAGAUAGCAGGUUUUGGUCUAGCUUUGCAGUAUUUUCGAUGCCAUUACAGGCUUUUUGUUUUUUGUUCACCAGCUGUAGAGCAAAAUUAUUAUUUCCUUUGCACCUCAGUAAGAGCUGUUUUGAUACAUCGAAAGCUUUUUCAUAGGGGUUUCUUUGCUGGUAAAAGGAACAAACACAUUGCAUUAUAGCCAGCAUGCUUUCCAUAUUACAGCAAUACUCUAACAGCAAUUGAGUGAUAUAGCAUAAUUGUAGAAGUGACAGGGAAUAUCAUUCAACUUAAGCCUUCCUGUACAGUUACCUGAGAGGUGGAGAUGGCUAAAAAAGAUGCUGUAAGUCACCUCCUGGAGAAGCCUACCUGUCCCCAAACACAUGCUAAUAUAACUUGAAACCAACACAGUGUAGUGCAGACUCCUUACAUCCUAGCUCUGUGUCCAGCCGCUGUGAUAGUGGAGGUGAGCAACGAUUGAAUCCAUCAUUGCAAGAGAUCUCUGAGUAUCUCCUUUGGCUCUGUGUGUGAGUUAAUCUCCCUGAAGUUUAGCUUUGAAAACUUCAGAAUAUCACACUAUGACUGUAUUCUUACUUUUCUUGUUCUCUGUGAAUUUUGGUGCUGAACUACAGUCCUGAAUGUAUUUUUAUUGAGUGUAUUGCAGGUUUUACCCAGUAAUGUGGUAGCAUUUACCAAAUCUCUCUACAUUUAUGUAUUGUGAGUUUGUAAAGAUGUCUGUCUGCAGGCAGGAAGAUUUUGCAUGAUUUUAGUUUAGUUGGAAACUGCUUUCCAAACAAUAAUUCCUUACAGAGUGAUAAAGGAUGAUCUUUUGGACUGAAUAUAAGUCUUUUAAGCUCUUCUCCUGGCUGUAUGCUCAUGGCUUCCUUUGGCAAACCCCCUCCUUUCUGUGUUGCUUGGUUUUGAUAAAGAUGAGAUAAUUUGUUAGUGUUUGUACAGUACUCUAGUGACUUUAAUUUUCAUGCUUUCUAGCUUCAGUAAAAUCCAGGUUUAUAUUAAUAGUAUUAAACUAAAUUUGUCUUAUUAAGCCCAGCUUUUCUCUUGUUUUCCAAAA
rnacentral:lncRNA from 1 species